CAGAUAAGUAACUCUUACUGCAAUAAAAAUAUUAUCCAUUUUGUAUUUUGAAAUAUUUCAUGUUUUCCGUGAGUUUUUCAGCCACUACUUUUAUUUUCUUUCCUCUGAAGGUCUCUGCUUUAAAAUGACUCAUUUCUCCUCAGUUGUGCUGAUUUCUAGCAGGGUAAAAACACAAGAUAUUCCCAAUAUUAUGUUAAGGAGAAGAUUUCCACACUGGAUGUCAGAGGAUAAUAUUUUGGACAUAUAUCAACUAAAAAAUCAAAUGAAGUCUCUGAAGCAUUUUGAGAAAAGUCUGCCAGUACUGCUGAUGUUAUGCUUUUUGACUUCUGAUGACUUCAGUUCAAGUCCCAGUUGGGCUCCUGAUCAGCAGGGUGGCUGA
rnacentral:lncRNA from 1 species